rnacentral:rRNA from 1 species
UGAGGAAUAUUGGGCAAUGCCCGAAAGGGUGACCCAGCAACGCCGCGUGGAGGAUGAAGGUCGUAAGAUUGUAAACUCCUGUUAGAGGGGAAGAAUAACUAAGUUUGGAGCUUAGUAUGACUGUACCCUCAGAGAAAGCCCCGGCUAACUACGUGCCAGCAGCCGCGGUAAUACGUAGGGGGCAAGCGUUGUCCGGAUUUACUGGGUGUAAAGGGCGCGCAGGCGGGAUAAAAAGUCAGUGGUGAAAUCCUACAGCUUAACUGUAGAACUGCCUUUGAUACUUUUAUUCUUGAGUUCGGGAGAGAGAGACGGAAUUCCAGGUGUAGUGGUGAAAUACGUAGAUAUCUGGAAGAACACCAGUUGCGAAGGCGGUCUCUUGGUCCGACACUGACGCUGAGGCGCGAAAGCGUGGGGAGCAAACA